CCGGCGCACGGGUGAGUAACACAUAUGCAACCUGGCCGUCACAGGUGGAUAACCGGAAGAAAUUCCGACUAAUACAGCAUAACACUCCUGAGGGACAUCCUUCGGGAGUCAAAGGAGGCAACUCCGGUGACGGAUGGGCAUGCGGCGCAUUAGGUAGUUGGUAGGGUAACGGCCUACCAAGCCGACGAUGCGUAGGGGUUCUGAGAGGAAGGUCCCCCACAUUGGAACUGAGACACGGUCCAAACUCCUACGGGAGGCAGCAG
rnacentral:rRNA from 1 species